CUCUUAUCCAGAGAGGUGAAGGGACCGGCCCGAUGAAACCUCGGCAACCAGAAAGCAACGCUUUUAUGGUGCCAAUUCCGGCAGAGCGAUAAUCUGGAAGAUGAGAG
rnacentral:ncRNA from 1 species